CCUGCGGAUGGAUCAUUACCGAGUGCGGGCCCCUCGGGGCCCAACCUCCCACCCGUGUUGCCCGAACCUAUGUUGCCUCGGCGGGCCCCGCGCCCGCCGACGGCCCCCCUGAACGCUGUCUGAAGUUGCAGUCUGAGACCUAUAACGAAAUUAGUUAAAACUUUCAACAACGGAUCUCUUGGUUCCGGCAUCGAUGAAGAACGCAGCGAAAUGCGAUAACUAAUGUGAAUUGCAGAAUUCAGUGAAUCAUCGAGUCUUUGAACGCACAUUGCGCCCUCUGGUAUUCCGGAGGGCAUGCCUGUCCGAGCGUCAUUGCUGCCCUCAAGCCCGGCUUGUGUGUUGGGCCCCGUCCCCCCCGCCGGGGGGACGGGCCCGAAAGGCAGCGGCGGCACCGCGUCCGGUCCUCGAGCGUAUGGGGCUUCGUCACCCGCUCUAGUAGGCCCGGCCGGCGCCAGCCGACCCCCAACCUUUAAUUAUCUCAGGUUGACCUCGGAUCAGGUAGGGAUACCCGCUGAACUUAACGGUAUCAAUAAGCGGAGGAAAAGAAACCAACCGGGAUUGCCCUAGUAACGGCGAGUGAAGCGGCAAGAGCUCAAGUUUGAAAGCUGGCCCCCUCUGGGUCCGCGUUGUAAUUUGCAGAGGAUGCUUCGGGAACGGCCGUCAUCUAGUGCCCUGGAAGGGUCGUCAUAGACGGUGAGAAUCCCAUCUGGGAUGGGGUGAGCGCAGCUGUGGAAGCUCCUUCGAGAGUCUAGUUGUUAUAAUGCAAUCUAAUGGUGGUAAUUUAGCUCAGCUAAUAUGCCGGAGACCGAUCGCGCACUUUAGAUGAUCGAAAAUGAAAGCACUUGAAAGAGGUAACAUACGUAAUUCUUAAGAGAACGCUGCGACAGACCGCCGCGGGUUACCGCACUCGUGCGUGUCUCCCGCGGCGGCACGUCGGUUGGCGCCGUCAAGCUCGGAAGGACCCUUCGGGCUCUAACCAGGUGCAGGGCUGCCGACAAGAACCCUCGCCGACCUGAUAUGUCUAGCACCUCUGAACCGACAGGUCACUCACCAGGUCGUGAACCGGCCAUGAACACGAUGGACCCCGUCCACACGACUAUCUCGUGUUAUAACGACUUGGCCAAAGGAUUCGGAUGGACCGGACUGGAGCCCGUCAUGAAAUGCAUGUAGGAAAAACUAUGUCCC
rnacentral:sRNA from 1 species